UUGGUCUCGCAGUGGUUGUUUGCAAGGUUAAGAAGAAAAGAAGAUGCCUUCGCUGCAGACGGCAUUGCCUCCCGAGAUUGCUGACAAUGUGAUCAGAUUGUACCAUGAGUGUCUAAGAAGAGCUCGCUUCAUUGGUCAUCAGGUUUUCUUCCCAUCUCUUGUUUCUUUUCGUUUCUUGUUUUCAAAGUUUUGGACUUGUCCCUCUCUUAUGAUUCAUGAAACAUGGUUUGCGAUAAAAAGAUUGGUUCCCCGUGAUAAUGGAUAAUGACAAUUGAGCAUCUAAAUUAUAAAUGUUGGGUAGAUUGUGGCA